rnacentral:rRNA from 1 species
UACGGGGGGGGUAAGCGUUGUUCGGAAUUACUGGGCGUAAAGGGCUCGUAGGCGGCCAACUAAGUCAGACGUGAAAUCCCUCGGCUUAACCGGGGAACUGCGUGUGAUACUGGAUGGCUUGAGUUUGGGAGAGGGAUGCGGAAUUCCAGGUGUAGCGGUGAAAUGCGUAGAUAUCUGGAGGAACACCGGUGGCGAAGGCGGCAUCCUGGACCAAUACUGACGCUGAGGAGCGAAAGCCAGGGGAGCAAACGGG